AUUGAACGCUGGCGGCAGGCCUAACACAUGCAAGUCGAGCGGAUGAAGGGAGCUUGCUCCUGGAUUCAGCGGCGGACGGGUGAGUAAUGCCUAGGAAUCUGCCUGGUAGUGGGGGAUAACGUCCGGAAACGGGCGCUAAUACUGCAUACGUCCUGAGGGAGAAAGUGGGGGAUCUUCGGACCUCACGCUAUCAGAUGAGCCUAGGUCGGAUUAGCUAGUUGGUGGGGUAAAGGCCUACCAAGGCGACGAUCCGUAACUGGUCUGAGAGGAUGAUCAGUCACACUGGAACUGAGACACGGUCCAGACUCCUACGGGAGGCAGCAGUGGGGAAUAUUGGACAAUGGGCGAAAGCCUGAUCCAGCCAUGCCGCGUGUGUGAAGAAGGUCUUCGGAUUGUAAAGCACUUUAAGUUGGGAGGAAGGGCAGUAAGUUAAUACCUUGCUGUUUUGACGUUACCAACAGAAUAGGCACCGGCUAACUUCGUG
rnacentral:rRNA from 1 species